UCGAACCAGUGAAAGAACAGACUGAAGUAAAUGAGACAGAGAUUGCAUCCCCCAAGAAAAAAAGCAAAAAGCUGUAGUUAAUGGGGAUGUCAACCAGUGAAAGUACAGCCUGAAGAGAAUGAGACAGAGAUUGCAUCCCCCAAGAAAAAAAAGCAAAAAGCUGUAGUUAAUGGGGAUGUCAAACCAGUGAAAGUACAGCCUGAAGAGAAUGAGACCCCCAUGAAAUUGGAGCUUUCCGACCUCCAGAAAAGGAUGCUUGAGCGCACACAGCCUUCUGAAGAGGAACUGGCACAGAUGCGAGAGGAAAGAGGAAUGAGACGGGGACGGGGACGGGGAUUCAGCACUCCCAGAAUGCGUGGAGGUGACAGGAGGGUGGUAACAGGCGUGGCUAUGGUGACAGGCAUGGCUACGACAGGCGUGGUGGUGGUGGUGGCCGUGGGGGCUUCACACCUAGUUAUGUAACCAUCCCAAAUUCAAUUCAUGUGGAAUGGCCGAGGACUACUCCAACCAAACCAGAUGAUGAUGAUGAUGAAUCUACCGAAAAGCCAGAAAAGCCAGCUUCUCUCCUCAAGCCAGACUACCUUUCUCCGGAUUAUAAGCCUCCUCCGGAUAUGAUGGGAUUGACCCCCCGCAGGGAGAUGGGGAGAGGCAGAGGCAGAGGCAGAGGCAGAGGCCGUGGCAGAGGAGGAUUUGGGAAGAAAGGUGGCGAUGAUGAUGGUAGCAAUAGUGACGGAGAUGGUGAAGAUGGAGGCUUCUUUGGUCGGAGAGGAGGGAGAGGCUUUGGUGGGAGAGGUGGGCAGAUCACGGGGACGAGGAGGUGGCGGGAGAGGAAGAGGUGGCGGCGGGAGAGGAAGAGGAGGCGGAGGUAGUGGUGGCAGAGGAAGAGGCCGUGGUGGCGGUGAUGGGAACAAUCCUAACCUAAUUCCUGUGCCAUUCGAUAAGGAGUAAGAGUGCCAGCAAACAGAGAAAAAAAAAAGUAAAAAAAAAAAAGGUUGCACCAGGGAGGAAGAACAACAGAUGGUCAACCCUGGCUUAUUGUAGAUUAAUUAUUGUAUGAUAUCUGUGCAGAUAUAUAUCUUAUUGUUUUAGCUAAAGGUUAAUAUUUCCAUUUUCAUGUUAAUCAAGGUUAAGGAUUGUUUCCAAAAUAGGUUGAAUGAGGGCAGGCUCUUCCAAAGUUCUCAAUUGGGGUUCUCGGACCAUAUGUCAAAAAUUGCAUUUAUUUUAUGUUUUGUUGAGUGGAAACUUUCAUCUAUAAGAGAAGCAUUGAUAUGUUCAACUUCAUGUCCACUAUAUCAUGAUCGUAGUGCAUUAAGAAGAACAUGUCAACGCUUAUAUUGUAGAAAUAAACAAGGCAUUUAAAUAAUGCAUCUGAAGGUUCUCAUUACUCCAACAACACCCUUGGACAAAUGUCAUUUUAGGAUCAACCAUUUCAGAAAGUUCCAUCAUCCAUUCAUUAAAUUUCUCAUUACUUGCAUACAAGUCAUAGGAAAUUGGUCUAUAUGCAAUUCUAUGAAGUAUAAUAUCUGACAAGUUCUUUUUGGAAAGGAACCAGUACAUCACGUACAAAUUCAAUAUGUCAUUCAUUGCAUAUUUCAUGGUAUAAUGGAUUAUAUGUUAUUUAAUAGGAAUCUGAUGUUGUAUCUAAUACCAAGUAUAUCGAGGAUAUUAUGUAUUUUUGUAAAUUUAUUUAUUGCAUUUGUUUUGGAAUAUGUUAAUGUUUUCUAAAACAUGUCAUAAUGCAAAUGUGCCUAUGUACUCUGUACUCAGACAAAAGCAUGAAUAAAUUUAUGUCCUAUUA
rnacentral:lncRNA from 1 species